GCACCCCACUCCAGACCUUCAAAGUUGCCUUUGCCAUGGGUUCAGCCAACCUCUGGGUGCCCUCCACCCAGUGCAGCCCUUACACUGUUUGUGCUGAGCCACAGGACCUUUGGACUCCUUGGGAUCCACCAGGUACAUGGAGAAUGGGACAGGAUUCGCUAUCCACUACAGUUCAGGGGAAAGUCAAACGCCUCCUGAGCCAGGACAUGGUGACUGUGAGUGGGGCCACCCCAGGCCAUCUGACACUUGGCAAAGGCAAAGAAAGGUAGAGCACAUGCUACUGACGGCUUCUGAGCCUUGCCCCCUGUCCCACCUUCCUCCAACCUCAGAGCCCUCUGCCCUGCCCCACACCCUUGCCCACGUUCCUUGGUUGUUUGGGUCACUGGCUCUCUGAGGUUGCAGGUCUUCAAGAGUUUCUGAUCUUUCCUUUAGAAAUUUCCACUUGCUGGGGGAGAGAUUGGGCUGGGAGGCAGCAACCCUCAGUAUUACCAAGGGAAUGUCCACUACCCGAGCGUCAGCAAGACUGGCUCCUGGUAGACCACAGGGAGGGCAUGUAUGUGGGGUCUGUCCCCUUGGUCUGUGAGGAGGGCUGCACAACAGUGGUGGGAAUGGCUUAUCUUGUAUCUUAGGUCCCUCUAGCUCCCCAAGGCUGCUCAUGGAGAACUUGGUUACCAAGGAGCUUAGCACAGAUGAAUGUGUCAUGGACUGGAAGCAGAUGCCCACACUGCACAAUGUCUCCCACCACCUCGAAGGCAGGGACUGCAUGCUCACCAGUGCAGAUGACGUACAACAGG
rnacentral:lncRNA from 1 species